UCGCUCUUUAAAGGGCUCCCGCAGCAGCGCCGUGCCUCCGGCGGAGCCCCGAGGGCUGUGCUGGGCGGCGGGAGAGCGGCGGGAGGGAACGGGAGCGGGAGCGGGCCGAUACACGGCCUUCUACACGGACCCAAUCACCGGCACCGUCACGAGUUAAUGGUGCGAAAGGAAAAAAGCAGAGGAUGCAUCCCAGAGAAAUCAUGUUCUUUCAGCACGAUUUGCUGCCGGAUCCACCUCCACUAACUCAAGAGGACCACACUUUAUUAUGAUCUACAUGCACAAAUGCAGAUGACAUAGGUAUCUACAGAGGUCAGCAGUACACUGGGCUGAGGGCAUCGUAGAGCCUCUGUGCAGCCAGUUCCACCAUUUCACGCAGGGAUUCGUCGUCUUCACUUCCUGGC